GACGAACGCUGGCGGCGUGCUUAACACAUGCCAGUCGAACGGAAAGGCCCCUUUGGGGGUACUCGAGUGGCGAACGGGUGAGUAACACGUGAGUAACCUGCCCUUGACUUCGGGAUAACUUCAGGAAACUGGGGCUAAUACCGGAUAGGAAUCCUUGCUGCAUGGUGGGGGUUGGAAAGCUUCGGCGGUUUUGGAUGGACUCGCGGCUUAUCAGCUUGUUGGUGGGGUAGUGGCUUACCAAGGCUUUGACGGGUAGCCGGCCUGAGAGGGCGACCGGCCACAUUGGGACUGAGAUAAGGCCCAGACUCCUACGGGAGGCAGCAGUGGGGAAUAUUGCACAAUGGGCGGAAGCCGGAUGCAGCAACGCCGCGUGCGGGAUGACGGCCUUCGGGUUGUAAACCGCUUUCAGCAGGGGCGAAGCUUGUGGUGACGGUACCUGCAGAAGAAGCACCGGCUAACUACGUG
rnacentral:rRNA from 1 species